rnacentral:rRNA from 1 species
UAGGGAAUAUUGGGCAAUGGAGGCAACUCUGACCCAGCAACGCCGCGUGAAUGAAGAAGGUUUUCGGAUUGUAAAGUUCUGUUCUAAGGGAAGAAUAAAAUGACGGUACCUUAGAAGAAAGCCCCGGCAAACUACGUGCCAGCAGCCGCGGUAAUACGUAGGGGGCAAGCGUUGUCCGGAAUAACUGGGCGUAAAGGGAGUGUAGGUGGCAAUUCAAGUUAAAUGUGAAAUCCUAGGGCUUAACCCUAGAAGUGCAUUUAAUACUGCUUUGCUAGAGUGUAGGAGAGGAUAAUGGAAUUCCAAGUGUAGCGGUAGAAUGCGUAGAUAUUUGGAGGAACAUCAGAGGCGAAGGCGAUUAUCUGGACUAUAACUGACACUGAUACUCGAAAGCGUGGGGAGCAAACA